CGGAAGUUUUCGGAUGGAAGCGGAUAUGACUUAGCGGCGGACGGGUGAGUAACGCGUGGAUAACCUGCCUCAUACAGGGGGAUAACAGUUAGAAAUGACUGCUAAUACCGCAUAAGCGCACAGGACCGCAUGGUCCGGUGUGAAAAACUCCGGUGGUAUGGGAUGGAUCCGCGUCUGAUUAGCUGGUUGGUGAGGUAACGGCCCACCAAGGCGACGAUCAGUAGCCGACCUGAGAGGGUGGCCGGCCACAUUGGGACUGAGACACGGCCCAAACUCCUACGGGAGGCAGCAGUGGGGAAUAUUGCACAAUGGGGGAAACCCUGAUGCAGCGACGCCGCGUGAGUGAAGAAGUAUUUCGGUAUGUAAAGCUCUAUCAGCAGGAAAGAAAAUGACGGUACCUGACUAAGAAGCCCCGGCUAACUACGUGCCAGCAGCCGCGGUAAUACGUAGGGGGCAAGCGUUAUCCGGAUUUACUGGGUGUAAAGGGAGCAUAGACGGUGAAGCAAGUCUGAAGUGAAAGGCGGGGGCUCAACCCCCGGACUGCUUUGGAAACUGUUUGACUGGAGUGCAGGAGAGGUAAGUGGAAUUCCUAGUGUAGCGGUGAAAUGCGUAGAUAUUAGGAGGAACACCAGUGGCGAAGGCGGCUUACUGGACUGUAACUGACGUUGAGGCUCGAAAGCGUGGGGAGCAAACAGGAUUAGAUACCCUGGUAGUCCACGCGGUAAACGAUGA
rnacentral:rRNA from 1 species